AAAUGCAGCUACUUGAAUCCCACUCCAAGAAAGUCUAAUCAAAUAGUUCUGGUAUGGGGUCCAGGAAUCUGCAUUUUUAAAACAUUGCUGAGGAUUCUGAUACAGGGAAAC
rnacentral:miRNA from 1 species